CAGGGCUUGACAUCCUCUGACGAUAGUAGAGAUACUAUUUUCCCUUCGGGGACAGAGAGACAGGUGGUGCAUGGUUGUCGUCAGCUCGUGUCGUGAGAUGUUGGGUUAAGUCCCGCAACGAGCGCAACCCUUAUUGUCAGUUGCCAGCAGGUUAAGCUGGGCACUCUGGCGAGACAGCCGUUGACAAAACGGAGGAAGGUGGGGACGACGUCAAAUCAUCAUGCCCCUUAUGUCCUGGGCUACACACGUACUACAAUGGCAACAACAGAGGGCAGCCAAACCGCGAGGUUGAGCGAAUCCCAAAAGGUUGUCUCAGUUCGGAUUGCAGGCUGCAACUCGCCUGCAUGAAGUCGGAAUUGCUAGUAAUGGCAGGUCAGCAUACUGCCGUGAAUACGUUCCC
rnacentral:rRNA from 1 species